ACUCAUCAUGUUUAACAUGAUUCAUGGGAAGUUUGAACACAGAUAUGCAGGAACUGAAGAAGCAGACAAGAUGUAGGCAGAAUGUAAUAAUUGGAACACAACCCUCAAAGAACUUGUCCAGAAAUUGUUUCAUUAAUUUAGAAAGGUUGAUGUUUAAUUGUAAGCUUGUUAAUUUGAGAUUGUUUCAUUAAUUUAGAAAAGUUGAUGUUUAAUUGUAAGCUUGUUAAUUUGAGAGCAAUUUAAGUUGUUUUACGUAUCAAAAUAACUAGCUAAUUUAAUAUUCCAAUCGUUUAUAUUUCGCCUUUUAUAUUAUUUCAAUAAGGGAUAAGAUACCCAACAGAGCUAUUAAUGUCAAUGUGCAUAAAAAAAAAAAUUAAAGUUCAGAAUAUUGGGGGUUUGAAUAUGAAUCUAAGUUGCAAGUUUGGAAUGACCUAAUGAAGAAGUCUAAAGUUCAGGAUUGUCCAUCCCUGCACAAACAUGUAUACUUGAAAACUUCUGAAUAUCUUGAUUUUCUUUCCAUGUAAGAACUUAUUUCAUACUAAAAAUGGGAUUGAUCAGUCUUAGAAGAGCUGAGAGAAAAAGGGCAACAGCUUGAUCAAUGACAUCUCAGAACAUAAACAGUCUAAUUGAGCAGAGUAGUUUAUUCAAGCUAUCUUUAUGCAGGAUAAUGACCAAGCCUUAGCCUUCAACUUAAGCAAACUUGCUCAUUGUUAGCCUAUAUAUACACAAAUCAGCAUAGACAUGAAAAAUCAAUAAAUAGCCGACUAAAAUUAAAUAACUUUUAGACUCAUUUCUUACUUAAUUCAAAAUAGUUAAUUUAAGUUAUUUAGUGAUUCGAACUAACUGUUUAUUGUGUAGAAUUCAAAAUAGUUAAUUUAAGUUAUUUAGUGAUUCGAGCUAGCUGUUUAUUGUAUAGAACUCUUUGAGUAUUGUUGUUCGUUGUCCACUAAUUUCAUCCAGAAUGGCUUUUGUAUCAAUUAUAACAGUUCAGCUAAAACUAAAGGAGAUUUACUAUUUAGCUCAUGGGUAUUACCGUUAUUAACAAGUCAGUCUCUACAUUUUUAAAAAUAUAUUAAAAUGUCAUUAUCUUUUCACUCUAUCAACAAAAUAGUCUUUCUGACCUUAUUUAAAUUUUUAAUGAUCAAAUAAAAAUUUGAAACUAGAGGUUAAGGAAGUUUGUUAAUAGAUGUAUGCCCUAAAUUUUUUAGUAGAAGAUGAGAAGUUUGGGAAGUUAUGAUAUUUUAACCUCUAGUACCCAAAAACAAAGGACAAUGCCCUACUUGCAUAUGUAAAAGGGAUACACCCUUAUCUUUUUCUCCUAGCAUAAAGGGUAUCCUUAUAGUGUCCAUAUUCCUUGAAUAGAUUGGUAAUUAAAAUUAAAAAAGAAAAUUUUUUUUUCUAAAAAAAACUGAAUCAACAACUUCUACAACUUUUGUUGUAGGUCCAAUAAUUAAGUUCAUGUUAUAAAUUCAGUAGCAACAUUAUUAUAUGAAAUGAUAGCAACAGCUCAAGGUCUUUAUUGACUUAACUUCUAUCCAUUGAUAUGCUAAUGUAUACAAUUGACAGGCAGCAAUUGUCUUCUUCCUUUUUUGCACAAUGAAAUUAUUAAUAAUAACUACGAUCAAAAUAGUAUAAUUCUCGUAUUUUUUAGUCUUUUCGUCUCAUUUGAUAAUAAAAUUUUUGUAAUUUUUUGUUAACUCAAGAUAACUCCCCUAGUUCAUGAGCUUAUAGUGAUUUUAACAGUUUCAUAAUUUUUUUUAUGAACCUUUUCCCUAGUUUAUGUGAGAAAUAUUUUUCAAUUGGGAAGGAUUGUUUCUUAAGUAAAUCUGAAAACUUGAAAUUUCCUAGAGAUAAGCAUUGUAGGUAUAGUAACUCUAUACAUAGAAAAAGUUUACCCAUCUCAUUUUUUACCUAGAUAAGUAUAAGAUAAGAUAAUAAUUUAUUUAUUUUUUUACGGAUAUAUAAAAAUUUAAUUAAAAUAAAAAUUUUAUUAAAAACAAAAUAAAUUUUUAUUAAAAUACAUUGUUAUAUAUAUAGUAAAAAAAUAAAAAAUUUUAACUGAUAAACUAUUAUUUAAGUAGUGUUAAGGUAAUAAUUUUACGACUGCUAUUAAAAUUCUAUCAUCUAAACCCUAAAAUAUAGUAACCAACAUUCAAUUUCUUACUGCUAUGAAAUUGAUAUCAUUUUAUUCUCCAUGGAAAUCAACAAUUAGGUUAAAAUCUAACUAAAGAUUUAAGGUAUUCUUUGUCUAUUGAAAGCUUAAGAAUGGUCUAAAAAUUAAUAAAGCAGAAAAAUAAAAUAGGAUUCUUGGAAUUAUUUGAUAAAAUUAACAAAUUAAAGAGCCUAUUAAUGAGAAUCCAAUUGUUUGUGAUAUUGUUAAUUUACAAUAAUAAAAUAAUUAAUAUUCUAAUCCAUUGAUAUAUUUUUAUAAAUAAAAAUUUUAUGAGAUGAAUAGCAAUCUCUUGUUUUUUAAAUUUAAUUUAAUUACCAAAUUAGUUUAGGGUUUCAAGUUUCAACUAAUUACAAAAAUGUUUAUUCAAAAUAUUGAAGCCCAAUAUUGCCUUUCUAUUAUCUAUAAAGCCCAGGCCCAGCUAAAUUGAAUUCAUUUUCAGAUUGUGUGUGGCCUUGUCUUACUCUCUAGCACAACGAUUGUGUUACACGCGCAAACUUUUAUGGAACUGUGGGCUUUUCUAUCAAUUGGGUUGGGCCUAGGCCCAAAAUUUAUAAACCUUUUGAGUUAUAGAUAUUCUAAUCUAAUAAUUUUAUGGUUUAACUUUUUUUUUUUCCUUUUUUUUUUUUUACAAAUUUUGUUAAAUAAGUUAAUUAAAUAGAUAUUCUAAUCUAAAUGUUUUAGUUUUUCAUUGAAUAAAAAAGUAUAAAAAUUACUAUAAAAAUAUUUCAUUUUCCUUCUAAAAAAAAAGAUAUUCUAAUUCUUAAAAAAAUGGAAAAAAUCCAAAAAAUAUUUAAAAAAAUGGAAAAACUCCAAAUUUAAUUGAAUGCAUAUUCUUUUACAAAAAAAUAUAUAAUUUAUCAGAUGUAUAAAAUAUAUUUAUUAAAUAGAUUUAAUUUCUAAUAAUAUAAUUUGAGCACUAAAAAAAAACAAAUAAAAGCAUUACUUUUAAAAAUCUCUUUCAUCCUAAACAAUUGAACAUUAUUAAAAAAAAAAAUAAAACCUUAAACUUACUUGUAAGAACUUCCUCCCAAAUGAAUUUAGAUUACUUUGAGCUACCUCAUUGUUUUCUUUGCCCCUGCAUGCACAUGGAGGAAAUCUAAGAAACAAUAAAGAAAAAAAAAAGUCAAAAGUGAUCUCAUGAAAAGCCAUUGACAAAGAACAAAACCUUCUGGUUAGCUCAAAGUUUCAAUCUAGCUAGUUAGGUUUUCCAUACUACAAUGAUCUCAUGAAGAAGAAGAAGAAGCUAGCUAGGGCAAGUCUUACAUAUAGAUGAUAAGAUAUUGAUAAUGUCUGUACAAAGACAUGGCAAAGAACCUCAAAAAUCUAGAAAACUCUGAUAUCCAUGGAGGAAAAUGAAGACAAAAACGAGAAAGAAAAAAUGGGUUCUUUAGAUCAAAGAGACCAAUAAAGCAUGGAAGAAUACAUCAAAGAGAUUAAGAAUUUAUAGAGGCAAAAGGUGAAAGAAACCUCCACUAUCAUGCAAGAAAAGGACAAAACAAACAGCUGAGGAAGUAAUAAAAUAAAUGCAAAUUAAGACAAAGACAUGAGUACGUAGCAGAGGAAACAGUGAUAUCCACACAUCAAGGAAAUAGAAGAGAGAGACGAGUCGGAUCAGAUCGAAUCGGUUGAAAAGGUAGUUAUUGUGGAUUCUGGGUUUUAGGUAUGGUGCAGUGACCGACACUUUGCUUGUGGGGGCUGCUCUUUCGUGCUUUAUGCGUGUCUCGGAGUGCAAAUCCAUGUAUUAGGUUUUUCGGACACCUACAUCCGAUCAUUGAUUCGAAAUUUAAUUUGUUUGUUCUAGGCUAGUAACCG
rnacentral:lncRNA from 1 species